rnacentral:rRNA from 1 species
UACGAAGGGGGCUAGCGUUGCUCGGAAUCACUGGGCGUAAAGGGUGCGUAGGCGGGGCUUUAAGUCAGGGGGGAAAUCCUGGAGCUCAACUCCAGAACUGCCUUUGAUACUGAAGAUCUUGAGUUCGGGAGAGGUGAGUGGAACUGCGAGUGUGGAGGUGAAAUUCGUAGAUAUUCGCAAGAACACCAGUGGCGAAGGCGGCUCACUGGCCCGGUACUGACGCUGAGGUGCGAAAGCGUGGGGAGCAAACAGG